rnacentral:rRNA from 1 species
CCUACGGGAGGCAGCAGUGAGGAAUAUUGGUCAAUGGACGAGAGUAUGAACCAGCAAAGUAGCGGGAAGGAUGACUGCCCUAUGGGUUGUAAAAUUCUUUUAUAUGGGAAUAAAAUGUUACACGUGUGGACUUUUGUAUGUACCAUAUGAACAAGGAUCGGAUAACUCCGUGACAGCGAGCGCGGGAAUACGGAGGAUCCGAUGUUUAUACGGAUUUAUUGGGGUUAAGGGGAGCGUCUGUGGAAUGUUAAGUCAGUUUUGAAAGGUUGCGGCUCAACCGUAAAAUUGCAGUUGAAACUGGCAGUCUUGAGUACAGUAGAGGUGGGCGGAAUUUGUGGUGUAGCGGUGAAAUGCUUAGAUAUCACGAAGAACUCCAAUUGCGAAGGCAGUUCACUGGACUGCAACUGACACUGAGGCUCGAAAGUGUGGGGAUCAAACAGGAUUAGAUACCCUAGUAGUC